rnacentral:rRNA from 1 species
UGGGGAAUAUUGCACAAUGGGCGAAAGCCUGAUGCAGCAACGCCGCGUGAGUGAUGAAGGCCUUCGGGUUGUAAAGCUCUGUCUUUUGGGACGAUAAUGACGGUACCAAAGGAGGAAGCCACGGCUAACUACGUGCCAGCAGCCGCGGUAAUACGUAGGUGGCAAGCGUUGUCCGGAUUUACUGGGCGUAAAGGAUGCGUAGGCGGAUUUUUAAGUGAGAUGUGAAAACCCUAAGCUUAACUUGGGGACUGCAUUUCAUACUGGAAAUCUAGAGUGCGGGAGAGGAGAAUGGAAUUCCUAGUGUAGCGGUGAAAUGCGUAGAGAUUAGGAAGAGCACCAGUGGCGAAGGCGAUUCUCUGGACCGUAACUGACGCUGAGGCAUGAAAGCGUGGGUAGCAAACAGGAUUAGAUACCCUGGUAGUCCACGCCGUAAACGAUGAGUACUAGGUGUAGGAGGUAUCGACCCCUUCUGUGCCGCAGUUAACACAAUAAGUACUCCGCCUGGGAAGUACGAUCGCAAGAUUAAAACUCAAAUGAAUUGACGGGGUCAUAGCUG